AGAAGACAGACCCCUCCAGGAACCAGCGAUGGAGCAAUCGCAUCCCCCGGCAAGGCUCACCAGGACUAGCUGACUCCGGGGCAGGGGUCAAGGGUCAGGAAUGGGUCCAGCUGUGCGCCUGGAAAGGACCCAGCGUGCCCACGCUCCCGGCAAGCCAGGGCUCAAACAUCCCCAAAGGGCGUCCGGGCUGAUGACGAUAGUUCCCAAUCGCCCUCCAGACGCACACUGGCUGGAACAACCGCAGGGACUUCCCUGACCGACCCGGCGUUUGCUCAGCUUUGAAUUCCCGCUCUGUAGAUCUGUCGCAAUUUAACCAGAGGUCACCCUGAAGAGGGUAUCAGAAUCUCUGGGACUGGAGUUACAGAUGUUUAUAAGCCACCAUUGCAUGGAACUGUUUGAGAAAGAUCGGAGGAUGUGCCCUUUUGGAGGAGAUG
rnacentral:lncRNA from 1 species